rnacentral:lncRNA from 1 species
GAAAAACGAAUACAAGACUUGAAAAAGCUGGGAGUAUCAUCAGUUCAAUUGGUUAUAAAUAGCAUAGAGCCAUCCUCUCGUUGUUGCAGAACUGAAGCAAAGAGAGACAGAAAGAGUGUGUGUAGGUGAUUAUAAUUAAGAAGAUAUAAUGUGUGGUUCAAAAAGAGUGUGGUUGAGUGAGUUAAUUUUCAUAUUAUUUGUAGUAAAAGGGUGGUGGAGUGAGGGAUGUUUGCAGCAAGAGAAGUCUGCUCUCCUCCAACUUAGACAUUUCUUCAAUGAUGAUCACCGUCUUCGAAAAGGGGCAGACGCAGGAGAUGAUGAGAAUUAUUC